rnacentral:lncRNA from 1 species
GUCAAGUUCACAUGCAGAAUCUGUGCUAUAGUCUAAAUUGCCUCCUGCCAUGUUACAACUAAAGACAGUUCUGUUGUGUCCAAUGUGCCUACCUGUCUUGCUCUGCCACAGAGGUUCACAGAUCCUCAUUUGACCACUCAUGUUUGAAUCUCAGAAGACCCAAUUAAGGUCAGAAAGGAAGUCACCCUCCACUGCCCACGCUGUUAAUAUUGCACACUGAUGGGACUCCUGGAUUCAAUAAAAAAUGUAUCACCUACCUCCUCAUCAACUUCAUCUGUCAGCUUCCUACAGUCUCACUUGAGUGCCCUCAGAGGAAUGUCUUAUCUCUACCCAGGACUCUACCUACUCUCUCUUCUCUUGCCUGUGGCUGUUUUUUUUACAUAUGAAAACAAAUGAUAAAUCUACAAGGUGGUCAAGGUUGAUUAAAGCAGUAGGUAAAAGUUGCCCAGAGAUUUUUUAAAGUAGUUAACACUAUUUAUUUUCAAACAAACAAAAAAGAUAGCUCAAAACUGCCUUCCUUUUCAAAACAGUUGCUUUUUAACAACCUUACUAAUGAUUUUACUUCCUGCAAAUUUCUUUCUCUGAAAGACUUGCUGAGUCAGCUUUCCUACUCCCACACUCACUACCACAAAUGUCUGUGGCAAAGAACUGGAUACUUAGCCUGGCAAACUUGCUGAUUCUGGACCAAUAUGAUCCUGGCUUCCCAUGGAAGUUGGAUUGCCAACAUCAUCAGGACAGAAUUGUCCAGAAGAAACAGGAUCAUCUUUUGAGAUUCCAUUCAGUCUCAAGUUUAAAUACCUUUGGAACUGUUUUAUUCUACCACGCUAUUAAUCACCCUGAAAGGAUUCUUAAUCAUUGGUAGAAAAAAUUAUCUCACCAGAGAGCUGGGAAUUCCC